UGGGGAAUUUUGGACAAUGGGGGAAACCCUGAUCCAGCCAUCCCGCGUGUGCGAUGAAGGCCUUCGGGUUGUAAAGCACUUUUGGCAGGAAAGAAACGUCAUGGGUUAAUACCCCGUGAAACUGACGGUACCUGCAGAAUAAGCACCGGCUAACUACGUGCCAGCAGCCGCGGUAAUACGUAGGGUGCAAGCGUUAAUCGGAAUUACUGGGCGUAAAGCGUGCGCAGGCGGUUCGGAAAGAAAGAUGUGAAAUCCCAGAGCUCAACUUUGGAACUGCAUUUUUAACUACCGGGCUAGAGUGUGUCAGAGGGAGGUGGAAUUCCGCGUGUAGCAGUGAAAUGCGUAGAUAUGCGGAGGAACACCGAGGGCGAAGGCAGCCUCCUGGGAUAACACUGACGCUCAUGCACGAAAGCGUGGGGAGCAAACAGG
rnacentral:rRNA from 1 species